rnacentral:lncRNA from 1 species
UAUUUUAUUCAUCAGAUACAUGAGCCAAAGAUCUUAUUUUAUGUUUAUAUCCAUUUCAGAAUCUGAAGGAACAACUGUGAAAAGCCUGUGCAGACACCGUCUGAAAUCCUGUCCCUGUCAAGCAGGAAUCUUUAACCUCUUGUGAUAUAUUGGGUACUCAUGAAGUACACAUAUAUCAUGACAGAUUUGCACUUUUGGAAGUUAAGACUGUGCCCUCAGAAACAGGAUCAGCCCAAGAAGCAGCAGUGAACAUCUCUCCACAAGCCUGCCACCCUCUCAUUGGCGAGAGUACCAGAAUGAGCAGCACUAAGAACUGGAAGCCUGUUCAGAAUCUCCCCUCUCCUGUGACUGCAAACGCUGAAUGAGACAUCCUGUAACACCCUGUUCAGAGGGGCAGAGCUGACAGCUGAAGGCCACCCUUGGCAUUUUCCUCUUUGGAGAUAAUGACAGAUGGUGUAUAACCAUGAGCAAGGAACCCCUUAAGUCCUAAACUAGGAGGGGGGCUUUCUGGGGAAUUAGUUAUAAAAGUUUAUUGCCCAAAGGUCUUGGUGCUGUUUCUGCUCCAGGGAGAAUAAGGAGGAGAGAUAUUAAACAGAGGUUUUAAAGAAAAAAUAAUCUGGUGUAUUAGAGGAUUGCAACAUUUUAGAUGAGUGCAGAGAGCACAUUUCUCCACAUACACCAGGAGUAAGCCAGAGAACUGCUGCAUGUAAUGUUUCUUACAGAACCGCACAAAACUUGCCUACUUGCCUACUUUCCAGUUUUGCUCUAAACUAAGAUAUAAACCUGUCUGUUGUAAGUUUCACUUAAAUUCCUUAAUCCGCACCUUUCAAGUGACUUGGAGCCCACUUAC